GACAGAGGUCCCGAGCGUUAGGCGGAAUCACUGGGCUUAAAGCGUGUGUAGGCGGAUCGUUAAGUGCCUUGUGAAAUCCCAUGGCUUAACCAUGGAACUGCUUGGCAUACUGGCGGUCUUGAGCCACUUAGGGGCAACCGGAACAAAUGGUGGAGCGGUGAAAUGCGUAGAUAUCAUUUGGAACGCCAAUGGUGAAAACAGGUUGCUGGGAGUGAUGCUGACGCUGAGACACGAAAGCCAGGGGAGCGAACGGG
rnacentral:rRNA from 1 species